UUUAGUUACCCCAAUUUAA
rnacentral:rRNA from 1 species